rnacentral:misc_RNA from 1 species
UCGGAAGGUGCGGCUGGAUCACCUCCUUUCUAGGGAGACAUACACUAGGCCAAGCGCCUGGAUGUCACUUAGGUCGACACUUUGGCAGAUAAACGUAGCAUAAGCGCUAGCUGUAUCGCACUUUAUAUUGUUCGGUUUUGAGAAAUCUGAAAAGAUUCUCAAGGCACAGGUUACACUGUGCAUACAAUGACAUAGGUCAGCGUAUUGUUCUUUGAAAACUGCAUAGAAGAAAGAUUAUAUAUGUAAGGUCUGCUUCUCAAUCGAGAAGAGGGACCGAGCACAUAGGAUAAUUCUAUAAAUAACGGUGAAGUUACAUAAGUAACAACUACAAAACGACAAUGCAUAUGCAUUUGUUCCAGUAUCAAGUAAGUAAAGAUACUAAGGGCAUAUGGCGGAUGCCUUGGCGAUACUAGCCGAAGAAGGACGCGGUAAGCUGCGAAAAGCUACGGAGAGGUGCAAGCGACCUGAGACCCGUAG